rnacentral:rRNA from 1 species
CGCCACAUAUACAUGCAGUCGAGCGGACAGAAGGGAGCUUGCUCCCGGAUGUUAGCGGCGGACGGGUGAGUAACACGUGGGUAACCUGCCUGUAAGACUGGGAUAACUCCGGGAAACCGGAGCUAAUACCGGAUAGUUCCUUGAACCGCAUGGUUCAAGGAUAAAAGACGGCUUCGGCUGUCACUUACAGAUGGACCCGCGGCGCAUUAGCUAGUUGGUGGGGUAAUGGCUCACCAAGGCAACGAUGCGUAGCCCACCUGAGAGGGGGAUCGGCCACACUGGGACUGAGACACGCCCCAUACUCCUACGGGAGGCAGCAGUAGGGAAUCUUCCGCAAUGAACGAAAGUCUCACGGAGCAACGCCGCGUGAGGGAUGAAGGUUUUCGGAUCGUAUAGCUCUGUUGUUAGGGAAGAACAAGUGCGAGAGUAACUGCUCGUACCUUGACGGGACCUAACCUGAAAGCCACGGCGAACUACGAGCCAGCGACCUCGGAAAUACGUACGCGGCGCGCGUUGUCCGAAAUUAUUGGCCGUAAAGGGCGCGCACGCGGGUUCUUAAGUCUGAUGUUAAAGCCCGCGGCUCAACCGGGGAGGGUCAUUGGAAACUGCGAAACUUGAGUGCAGAAGAGGCGGAUGCAAUUCCACACGUAGCGGUGAUAUGCGACGAGAUGUGCAGCAACACCAGUUGGUGAGGUCUCCCUCUCGUUCUUUUACUGCCUCGAGAUGAGGUAAGGGUGGGGGGGCACCGUGAUAAUGAGCCUUUUAGGCCGUGUCGCGGAAUUUAGGGGUUAGGGUUGAGUGCUUUCCGCCCCUUAUUAUUUGGUUUAUCGAAUUUUCUCUUCGCCUCGCAAGUACGGUCGGGAGUUUGAAGUCCUAAUAAUAGUACGCCUCGCCACGAAGA